UGUAAGCAGCUUCUUGGCCAGAAGCUUUAUCUUGAUUUGGCAGUUCUGUUUACUUGUUCUUUACACACAGUUACUAUUUCUGCACUUUCCUUCAGCAAACAGAUUUUUUUGCCGGCUAAAAGAAGAUGCUCUAAGGUAUCUCUUUGCAGAGAUCAGAAGAACAGCCCUAAAAGACCGAAUUUAAUCACAGCGACGGAGCAACCCCCCACCGGCCCUCUGACAGGGACCCGCGGGCGGACCCCAGGCACCGUGCACCGAGGCUUGGGCAGGACACGGCCCGGUACCACACCCCGGCAGCCACCAGGAGUUUAACCCAGGUCAGUUCACUGAUCCAUUCCCUUGGAGGCAUCAAUAAGGGAGGGACGAACCACAUACCCUAAAGCCCCCAGCAGCAAGGCCUAGCAAUCUCUCCCUUGCUUCUCACCCUCAACUGAGGAGUCAACUUGCCAAGCAGGAUUUGAAGGCAGGAGAAGAAA